AUCCAGCUGACGAAUCCCAAAUAGGACGAAGCGCGCAUCCUGGAU
rnacentral:hammerhead_ribozyme from 1 species